rnacentral:rRNA from 1 species
AUUGAACGCUGGCGGCAGGCCUAACACAUGCAAGUCGAACGAGUGGCGGACGGGUGAGUAAUGCUUGGGAAUCUAGCUUAUGGAGGGGGAUAACUACGGGAAACUGUAGCUAAUACCGCGUACCAUAGGAUGAGCCCAAGUGGGAGUAGGUAGUUGGUGAUGUAAAGUAUCACCAAGCCGACGAUCUCUAGAGGGUCUGAGAGGAUGACCAGCCACACUAGGACUAGGACACGGAGCAUACUCGGACGGGAGGCAGCGGGGGAGAAUAGUGCGCAGUGGGGGCAACGUGACGCAGCCAUGGCGGGUGAAUGAAGAAGGCCUUCGGGGUGUAAAGUUUGUUCGGUAGCGAGGCGUUAACUACAGAAGAAGCACCGGCUAACGCCGUGCCAGCAGCCGCGGUAAUUC